rnacentral:lncRNA from 1 species
UUUCUAGCGGAGCGCCGGAUUAGGCAGUCCCCGCCCCGGUGCCCCUGAUUGGGUAGGGCCUCAGGCCCCGCCCCCUCAGACUCUUAGUGACAGACUUAUUAACCUUCAUGGCCUCUGGUCUUCUGAGGAAGCAGUCUGAGGAGCCCGAGUUUUGAAAAGGGAAGCAAUCCUCCAAGGCUGCGAUUUCCACAGAAAUCACAUGUGAGCCACAGGUGUCAUUUUAAAAUUUCUAGUAGCAACAGAAACGAGGAAUAAACAGAUGAGGUUUAUAUAACUUUCCAAGACAAGGAAGUUGUGCAAAGCCUCACAGCUACUAAGAGGCUGGGCUGGGACCAGGAUUAACUUUUCGUGACUCCAAAGCCCAUGCACCUCUGCAAGCCACACGAAUCAAGCAGCUUCUCUAAACCUUUGAAGUCCUGGAAAGUAACUCUUCUGCAAUAGAAGCAAGAAUCCUGUGAGAUUGGGAUCCAUCUAGUACUCUUCACCAUUUGGAACAACUGCCUCCAGAGAAUGCUUCUGACACAUCUUGGAAGAACGUGGAAUAACUUGAGGAAAUGGUCGAUUUGCUAAUUUAGGAAACCAAUGUUCGAUAUUACAUAUUUUUUAUUUCUUUUCAUAGGAUAAAUUUAAAAGCACAGAUGACGCACUCCACAUGAACGCAAAUCCUAUUCAUCCCUUUUUGUUGUUUGUAGGCUAUUUAUGAUUUUCAACAAAGACUAAAUCAAACCACUGUGUCUGAAAUAACCUCUUACUCUGAAAGCAAGUGACAUGAAAAUAGACCUGCUGAGAAAAAUUUCUUCCUGCUGCAAUUUAACGAAACAGCUGACUACAAUUUGAAGCCAUUCUUUGAUUUUUUUUUUUUUUUUUUUUUUUAAGAUGGAGUCUCGCUGUG